GCAGGUAACAUUAACCAGGACCUAUUUGUCCACCAAAGUUACUCUUUGAUAACCAGAAAAAGCCUGUAAAAGAGUUACAUUUAGACUCUAUUGUUGAAAAGAAUUUCAAAUGCACUUAAUUAUGGCCACUGCAGCCAACAGCAAGACCAACUACUAACAAGCUUUUGGUGAGAGAAAACAGCAUGACAUGCAAGGCUGUCAUUAGGAACCAAUCCCCACCAGCACACAGCUUUCUCCAUGACUGCUGGAAUGCUAUCAAGGCUCUCUGCUGGUCUCUUAGAAAUAAAUGUGAUCACUUCUAUGCCACCAUUCAUUUGGGAUGAAUAUUACUUUUCCUCAUUUUACAUAAAAAAAAAACUCUUUGCAGUGAAACCCUGCUCUGGGACCUAUUACCAUUAGCCAAGGAAUUAACCAAGCAACAGCCUUUUGCAUGCCUUUUACUAAAUUUUUUUCUAUCUGAAUUUCCUGUUGGUCAUGAUCACUGAAAUUCCACAGCUGCCUACAAAUCUGGGAAGUUCAGUUAAGUCACCGCCGAUGCUUUAAACAGGCCCAGGGACACUGAGCUGAGGCCUGACUACUGCCAAGUGAAUAAACACAAACCAGUCAGAAAUCAAACUCAUUUGCACCUUGGACUUAACAGUGUAUUUGAAAGCUGGUUUAAGUGAAGUGCUAGACCAUCUCUCUGUUACGACAGAUGUGCUGAAUGAAGACCUUCACGCACCUAGGCUCCACAUCCCACACUUCCUUAAGAGGACACAGGAUCAGUGCUAUCUCCCCCUCUCCAUGUAAAACAAUAAACCAGAUCAGUAAUAAAAACCAGAGAAACACACUUUUAGUAAAUUUGAUCAAGGAAACUAGGAAUUUUGAGUUCAAGUUCCAGCUCCUGUCCUCAUGAACUAUACAGCCGUCAGAAAAUUUUAAGGCAGACACUGAGCAGCACCACCAACCCUCCCUUUGAUUUUAGUCAUGUUCCAUGACCUACUUAUACCUCUAUCUAGAGAUCAAAGAUAAUCUCUGUACAACAAUGUAUGUGCAUUACUGAGGAUACCUUAAACUACUGCAUUAUCCUUUCUUAUUUUGAAGCACUACAAGUGUAAAUGUUAGAUGCAUUCUCACAAUAAAAAGUGCAAAAAAGCAUGACUAAAAUAAAACUCUGACGAAUGCUGCCUGAAACGUAGCU